rnacentral:rRNA from 1 species
GACGUAGGUGGCGAACGUUAUCCGGAAUCAUUGGGCGUAAAGGGUGCGUAGAUGGCCUGAUAAGUUAGCAGUGGGAAAUCGAGGCUCAACCUCGUGGAAGCUGGUAAUACUGUUAGGCUCGAGUGCAGGGAGAAGUUAAUGGAACUCCAUGUGGAGCGGUAAAAUGUGUAGAUAUAUGGAAGACCAUCAAUAACGGCGAAGGCAGUUAACUAUUCUGUUACUGACGUUGAGGCACGAAAGCGUGGGGAGCAAAACGG